rnacentral:lncRNA from 1 species
GGUUCCCCCAUUGGUCCAGUUGAACUCCUUUAAAAUAGGUUAGAGUAGGAAUAUGAGUAGGUGUAAAGUAGAUUAUUACCAACUGUAGAAAACAAAAUACAAAUUGCUGGUGCUGAUUUUUUUUUUCGAAAUAAGGAAGCAAAUAUGCUUUCAAAAAUGGAGAAGAAUGACUAAUUGGUUUUUAAUAAUUACACCUUGAAGUGUCAAUAGGUUAUUAGAUUCAGGACGUUGGAACUAGUGCUAUUGGAGGUUUGAUCAAGUUUCAGGGAUUUGGGGCAGGGACGGUGUCAUACUGAUGACCGUCCCUGCACGGUUAAGGGCCAAGAUUUGCUCUCAAAAUUUUGUGUGGCUGAAAUUACACCAUGUAAUUCGAUUUUUGCGCCAAGUGUGGGGCCCACAACUAUCUGUUAUGAAAAUACAUCCUGUGAAAAAAAAGUUACAUCGUGUUUAACCAAUGUUACGCGCAGUGCAAAAUGAAGACAACCUACACAAACGGUUGCACCUGCAACCGUUUGUGCCCCGUAUCCAAACUGUCAUGCAGAGUAUAAUGCAUCAUAAUAAAAAAAUCUAAUUUACUUUCUUCGACUCUGUUUCUUUCAUCCUUUCACAUGAAGACAAUUGAAAUGCCAUUAUGAAGGGUGCAAUCUAGUCUUCAACAAGUGGACAUUGGCACAUAAUAUAAGAUGAUGAAGUGUGAAGCUAUAUAAACAUUAUUAGUAACUUGUAAGCUUGUUUGUGACACAUUUGUUUUGGAAAAUAGUCUUCGCUUAUUUAUCUUUAGUAGCUGUUCAACUUUGACAUCUCGAGUCACAUGAUUUCUUGUUUAUUUUGAUUACAGGCUUACCCACAAGAAAAGGUUGGCGUUUUUGUUCAGCAAGGCAAAGGAAGACCGUAGACCUCUGUCUGUCCUCGAAUACAGUGAGUUGGACCCGUCUUUGUCUAGUGCUGUAAAUUUAGAGGUGUUAAAACGGGUGAUUUGGACAAGUUUGAGUUGGUCAAAAUAAAUAAUGGGUAUUAGUGAAUCAACCCAUUUAUAUUCAUUUAAUUAGAUUGGUAUGAAAGGGUAAGUAAAAAAAUGAAUUGGAUAACUUGAUUAACAAUUUAUAACCUAUUUAUUUUAACUUUUUGUAAACUCAUUUAAAUUCAUUUUUGCAAACUAAAUUAUCAAUUUAUACCACCCUUUGCAUCCAUCAUUAGUUUUGAAUAUUUACUUAUAAUACUCAAUAAGCCUAAUUACCAAUUUUUUACCUAUCCGUACUUUAUGUCGCAAAAUUACAUACUAUUUAAUAAUUGAACAAUAAGAAUAUAAAUAGGUAUUAUUGGGUAACUAGCAUUUUUUGAACCCCUAGCAUUUUUUUUUCAUGUGUAAAUUUAAAAUUUCAUUUUGAAAAGAUAGGAAAAAAGUCUAAUACUUGUCAUAAAUUGAUAAUACUGAAAAAUGAGCAAGUUAACAAAUUAAGAGAAAAUAAAAUAAUAAGAUAAAACUAACAAAUAAUAAUAAUAAUGAAACAAAAGUAGUUAACAUCAUGACAAAAUAAAAAAUCUGAAAAAACAAGGGUGAGAGAAGAGAGGAGACUGGGGGAAUAUAAUUUUAGAUGGAUUAAUUAGGUCUGAUGGGUUAUCCAAUAAUACUCAUUUACCAAAUAAAUGAGUAUUAUUAGAUAAUCCAUUUAUACCCAUAUACAAAAACUUAAGAUACUCAUACUCAUUCAUUCAUGGACGGAUAUGGAUAAAUUUAGACAAAUGGAUUGGUUUGCCACACCUAUACUAUAAACCAGCAAACUGGUCGUCUGCGAUUUUGUUGGAGCAACGUAUUGUCCCUCUUUGCCUCUUUUCUUUUUUCUUUUUUUUUUUCUCUCUGUCUUCUUAAAGAAUGGUUAUUCAGUAUAGAUAAUAUGGUGCCAUUUACUAUGGACUUUAAGUUAUUAUAUCUCUUCCACAUGUUGCUUUAAGCGAUUGUCUUCUCUGAUUUCUUCCUGGUUGCAUUUUCAGGUUUGCCUACAUAUGUUUACUUUAGAUUUUCUGAACCAAGUGGCAAAUGGUUUACUUUAGCUCCUUGUUUAGUUCUUUUCACGAUGCUUUCCCGUUUCAAUUAAAACAUGUAAUCGAGCAAAUUAAUUCAGGCACUCCUUUAGGAUUUUACUACACACUAACCUAUCUAUUGCCAGCCGCGAAGCACUACUAUCUAUUGCCAAUUUUUAAAAUUUUUAUUGCUAUUAUGGAACUGAUCAGAUGUAGAAAGCUUUACAACGUGAGUGCAGCCAUCACCUUGCAGAGAAGAAAAUUCCAUCAGUUCAUCUUUGAUGCAUUUCCAUAUGCACCUUCUACAGCCCUUUUUGGGGUAAUUAUCGUUGGGAAAUGUUUGACGAAUCUCUCUCUCUCUCUAAAACAACAACCGGAUGACGGAUAUUUUAGCACACCUACUUUGUUUUUUUUUUUUUUUUUGAUAAGAAAACAUAUUUCAAUAACGGAUUACUGGAAAUCGUCCCGCACGAUUGAUAUACAUUGCUGCCCUAAUGACAGAUAAAACAUGCACUAAAAUAAUAGAUCUGAAAUUUAACAAAUACAUAAGACUUGAGAAAUUAAGGACAGAUCUAAAAAGUACGAUAAAAUUUAAAAUCAUUCCAUCAUAGAAUAAAUCGCUGAAACUCACUCUAUGCAUGUUGUAAUCGUCAGAUCUGCUAAUCAACAGUUGUAAGGUCCAAUAAAGAUGAUGAGAUCUGCCGAGAUAGAUCCAAAUCUAAAAUAAAUUCAUCCAUAGAUAUUUGUGCAUGUCUAUUCCCUCAGAUCUACUAUCCAAUUGGUUCAAGCUCAAAACUGAUAUUGAGAUCUGAUGAGAAGACUCAAGAAGUUUUAGAUCUAACAUAUAGAUCUAAAAAAAACUCCAAGAUCUGAGAAAAUAAAUAACAAAACUAAAGAAAACUCUCACUAAUAUAGUUUAGGAGAGAAGAAAACGCACACUAGGACACCCUAGGAGAGACGAAAACUCCCACUAGGAUACCUUAAGGGAGACUUUAUUAAAUAAAAGUAAGAACAAAGAACAAAGGAAGAGGAAGGGAGACCUUGGCUUAAGGCCAAGAUCUCCCUCCUAUGGAGGAAGACGAGUAGAGAGAAGGAAGAAAAGAAUUCUAGAGAGAAGGAAGAGAAGUAGGCAUAGCACACCUACUUUGUUAAUAAUGCAUCAAUACAAAGUAGAAUUACUGUAGCGGAUCAUAGAUAUUUUAGCAUACUUAUUGUAAUUGUCUUCCUGGAAGGGCUGAUUCAAAUUCACCUUUUAAAAGAAUUGAAAUCGAUCAUCGGUUUUUAAAUCGAAUUAGAACCGACUAUUUUGAAACUGUGGCCAUGUCUGCGUACAAAUUGGGCAGUAAAAGG